rnacentral:rRNA from 1 species
CCUACGGGAGGCAGCAGUGGGGAAUAUUGGACAAUGGGGGGAACCCUGAUCCAGCGACGCCGCGUGAGUGAAGAAGUAUUUCGGUAUGUAAAGCUCUAUCAGCAGGGAAGAAAGAAAUGACGGUACCUGACCAAGAAGUCCAGGCUAACUACGUGCUAGCAGCCGCGGUAAUACGUAGGGGGCAAGCGUUAACCGGAUUUACUGGGGGUAAAGGGAGCGUAGACGGUUACGCAAGUCUGGAGUGAAAGGCGGGGGCUCAACCCCCGUACUGCUUUGGAAACUGGAUAACUGGAGUGUAGGAGAGGUAAGUGGAAUUCCUAGUGUAGCGGUGAAAUGCGUAGAUAUUAGGAGGAACACCAGUGGCGAAGGCGGCUUACUGGACUGUAACUGACGUUGAGGCGCGAAAGCGUGGGGAGCAAACAGGAUUAGAUACCCUUGUAGUC